AUGAUCCAUCUACAAUACGCUCUCUGCUAAUUCAGUAGGUAUGAUCAUCUACUGGAGGCUCUCUGCUAAUUCAGGAGGUAUGAUCCAUCUACUGGAGGCUCUCUGCUAAUUCAGGAGGUAUGAUCCAUCUACAAUACGCUCUCUGCUAAUUCAGGAGGUAUGAUCCAUCUACAAUACGCUCUCUGCUAAUUCAGGAGGUAUGAUCCAUCUACUGGAGGCUC